rnacentral:rRNA from 1 species
UACGAGGGGGGCAAGCGUUGUUCGGAAUUAUUGGGCGUAAAGGGUGCGUAGGCGGUUUGGUAAGUCUGAUGUGAAAUCUAUGGGCUCAACUCAUAGUCUGCAUGAGAAACUGCCGGGCUUGAGUAUGGGAGAGGUGAGUGGAAUUCCUGGUGUAGCGGUGAAAUGCGUAGAUAUCAGGAGGAACACCUGUGGCGAAAGCGGCUCACUGGACCAUAACUGACGCUGAUGCACGAAAGCUAGGGGAGCAAACAGG